UGAGGAAUAUUGGACAAUGGAGGAAACUCUGAUCCAGCCAUGCCGCGUGAGUGAAGAAGGCCUUAGGGUUGUAAAGCUCUUUCAAUUGUGAAGAUAAUGACGGUAGCAAUAGAAGAAGCUCCGGCUAAAUUCGUGCCAGCAGCCGCGGUAAUACGAAUGGAGCAAGCGUUGUUCGGAAUCACUGGGCUUAAAGCGUAUGUAGGCGGAAUCGUAAGUCAGGAGUGAAAUCCCGGGGCUCAACCCCGGAACUGCUUCUGAAACUACGGUUCUAGAAUCCUGGAGAGGUUGGGAGAAUUCCGAGUGUAGAGGUGAAAUUCGCAGAUAUUCGGAGGAAUACCAGUGGCGUAGGCGCCCAACUGGACAGGUAUUGACGCUCAGAUACGAAAGCGUGGGGAGCAAACAGGAUUAGAUACCCGCGUAGUCC
rnacentral:rRNA from 1 species